rnacentral:tRNA from 1 species
GCCUUCGUGGUGUAGUGGUCAGCACGCUCGACUCGUAUUCUAGAGGUCCGUGGUUCGAUUCCCGGCGAAAACA